GGCCAGACUCCUACGGGAGGCAGCAGUGGGGAAUCUUCCGCAAUGGGCGAAAGCCUGACGGAGCAACGCCGCGUGAUCGAAUGAAGGCCCUCGGGUUGUAAAGAUCUGUUGACAGGGACGAAUAAGCAAUGCGAAUAGUUUUGUGUAUGACGGUACCUGUUUAGAAAGCUCCGGCUAACUACGUGCCAGCAGCCGCGGUAAUACGUAGGGAGCAAGCGUUGUCCGGAAUUACUGGGCGUAAAGGGCGCGUAGGUGGGCGCUUAAGUCAGGUGUGAAAACUCCGGGCUCAACCUGGAGACUGCACUUGAAACUGGGUGUCUUGAGGGCAGGAGAGGAAAGUGGAAUUCCUAGUGUAGCGGUGAAAUGCGUAGAUAUUAGGAGGAACACCAGAGGCGAAGGCGGCUAACUGGACUGCAACUGACGCUGAGGCACGAAAGUGUGGGGAGCAAACAGGAUUAGAUACCCCCGUACU
rnacentral:rRNA from 1 species